rnacentral:rRNA from 1 species
AGUGAACGCUGGCGGUAGGCCUAACACAUGCAAGUCGAACGGCAGCACAGAGGAGCUUGCUCCUUGGGUGGCGAGUGGCGGACGGGUGAGGAAUACAUCGGAAUCUACUCUGUCGUGGGGGAUAACGUAUGGAAACUUACGCUAAUACCGCAUACGACCUACGGGUGAAAGCAGGGGAUCUUCGGACCUUGCGCGAUUGAAUGAGCCGAUGUCGGAUUAGCUAGUUGGCGGGGCAAAGGCCCACCAAGGCGACGAUCCGUAGCUGGUCUGAGAGGAUGAUCAGCCACACUGGAACUGAGACACGGUCCAGACUCCUACGGGAGGCAGCAGUGGGGAAUAUUGGACAAUGGGCGCAAGCCUGAUCCAGCCACACCGCGUGGGUGAAGAAGGCCUUCGGGUUGUAAAGCCCUUUUGUUGGGAAAGAAAUCCAUCUGGUUAAUACCCGGGUGGGAUGACGGUACCCAAAGAAUAAGCACCGGCUAACUUCGUGCCAGCCGCCGCCGUAA